rnacentral:rRNA from 1 species
GGACGAAAGUCUGACGGAGCAACGCCGCGUGAGUGAAGAAGGUUUUCGGAUCGUAAAGCUCUGUCUUCAGGGACGAAUGUGCUUAAUGUGAAUAAUGUUAAGUAAUGACGGUACCUGAGGAGGAAGCCACGGCUAACUACGUGCCAGCAGCCGCGGUAAUACGUAGGUGGCAAGCGUUGUCCGGAAUUAUUGGGCGUAAAGCGCGCGCAGGCGGGAAUGUAAGUCUGUCUUAAAAGUUCGGGGCUCAACCCCGUGAUGGGAUGGAAACUACAUUUCUUGAGUGCAGGAGAGGAAAGUGGAAUUCCUAGUGUAGCGGUGAAAUGCGUAGAUAUUAGGAGGAACACCAGUGGCGAAGGCGACUUUCUGGACUGUGUCUGACGCUGAGGCGCGAAAGCCAGGGGAGUGAACGGGAUUAGAUACCCCGGUAAUCCUGGCCGUAAACGAUGGGUACUAGGUGUAGGAGGUAUCGACCCCUUCUGUGCCGGAGUUAACGCAAUAAGUACCCCGCCUGGGGAGU